rnacentral:rRNA from 1 species
GAUGAACGCUGGCGGCGUGCUUAACACAUGCAAGUCGAACGGGAAAUCUUUCAUUGAGACUUCGGUGGAUUUGAUUUAUUUCUAGUGGCGGACGGGUGAGUAACGCGUGGGUAACCUGCCUUAUACAGGGGGAUAACAGUCAGAAAUGGCUGCUAAUACCGCAUAAGCGCACAGAGCUGCAUGGCUCAGUGUGAAAAACUCCGGUGGUAUAAGAUGGACCCGCGUUGGAUUAGCUAGUUGGUGGGGUAACGGCCCACCAAGGCGACGAUCCAUAGCCGGCCAGAGAGGGUGAACGGCCACAUUGGGACUGAGACACGGCCCAGACUCGUACGGGAGGAAGCAGUGGGGAAUAUUGCACAAUGGGGGAAACCCUGAUGCAGCGACGCCGCGUGAAGGAAGAAGUAUCUCGGUAUGUAAACUUCUAUCAGCAGGGAAGAUAGUGACGGUACCUGACUAAGAAGCCCCGGCUAACUACGUG